UUAAUGGAAAAAAAGGAAAUAGAUUAUGAUCUCGAAUCAGGAGCGGCGUUUCAGUGCCCCAGACCAAAAUGGAGAUUUCGCAUUUUAUUUGCGGGCAAGGAAAAUCGCCAUGUUGAUAAAGGGCAAAGCGAAGACUCCGGAAAGCCGCGUUCUUCUGCCAUCUUGGUUGUGGGCAAGCAUAGUGUUCCUAGCAUAUCGAGAUGUGGGCAGAUGAAGGUUUCGGUCGCAGGCUUAACAAGUCAUCGUCGUUCGUCUUGCCGUGUUGCCGCUUGUCUGUGAUCAAUAGUAAGGAGCCGUCGCGUUCUCUGAGGUUCGUGUUUCGUUCUGGAUUGUUAUGUCCCUCCUUACAGAUAGUUUAAAAGCUCUGAACUAGUAGACUUGAAGACUGUACACAUCUGAAAGUGAAACAUCUACUACCUGUGACUAGUUUACCUGUGCUUGCUCUUACUUUGGACUCCAACAGUUCUAAAAAUAAGAAUCAAGCAAGAUGAAUAUUUUGUCAUCAUGUAUUCAGGCAUAAAAUACUUUCCUUACUUUUUGAAGAGCAGUAUUGGUCACUUCAUGAACUGUUUUAAAUGUUCCUCCACUUCAUCUGUAAGAUUUUAUAGUCAAACAAAGCAGCAAGUGUUUUUGUUUACAGCAUGUUUUAGAAAUGUGUACAUUGUUCCUUAUUCCCAGGGAACCAUUCAGCCAUGGAGGCUUUUUUCCUGCAAGGAUCUUCUGAAAUCAGAGCAAAAGAACUGGAGGGUUUGUUCAGCAAACUACACAGAUUUGAGAGAAAGAAUGAAACAAAAAUUAGAAAAGCAUUAUAACAGUCAUUCAUCAAGUCCAAGUAGCCUGAUGAUUAAGUUUGGAGACUAUAUUUACUUUGAAGAAAAUGGCUGCAUAUUUCGUUCAAAGCUGGGAGAAGUAGGUGAACAGAACUAUGAAGCGCUACUUAGCACAGAAGCUCUACCCUUUGAAGAUUCUUUUAUCCAGCAAAUACGAAUUUCCCCAGAUCAUGGAUAUAUGGCUACUGGAAUUAAAAGUGCAAACUCUGAAGAGUGUGCUUGUAUCAUUGUGAAACUACAACCAUUAUCAAAAGUGGAAUGCAUUAUCCCACAUGCAUUUAGCUUUGAAUGGGCUACACAUGAGAUUCUGUUCUAUACCACCCAAAAGAAUCUUCAAUGUCAUGAUGUAUAUUUGUCUGAUUUUAAUAAAAAGCAUUCUGAGCUGGUGUAUACAGAAACUGAUGCAAGAUACUUUGUGGAUCUCUACCGCACAAAGGAUAAACAUUUUAUUACUAUAAACAGUAAUAGUAAGACCACCUCUGAAGUGUGGUUGAUAGACUGUCAUCACCCUUUUAAAUCUCCUGUUCUUGUGCAAAAACGAACGAAAAAUGUCAUUUAUCAUGUUGAGCAUAGAAACAAUGAGCUAUAUAUUCUUACUACAUAUGGAAACCCUGUGGGGUACAAGCUGAUGAAAGCUCCAGUUGGUUCAUGUGGUUUGGAGAAUUGGCAACCCAUUUACAUAGUAAAAGAAAACACCAAAUUAAUCGACUUAGAGAUGUUCAGAGAUCACUGCAUUACCUUUCUGAAACUUGGUGGUGAGCUCUAUUUGGAUAUUAUUUCUCUUGUAUCAAAUACAGUUGAAAAUGUUAAGCUACCUGACUGGGCCUGUUCACUGGAAUUGGAACCUAAUUCUGAGUAUACUGCCAACACUUGCUAUUUUUGGCUCAUGUCUCCUCUUCAGUCUCCAGUUCGUUUUGCAUAUUCAUUGAUGGAAAAGAGCCUUACUGAAUUUACUGAGCAAGAAGUACCAAUUACAGUGAAUUGUAAAACUGUACGUCUAGAAGCUAAGAGCAAGGAUGAAACUUGGGUACCAAUUACAGUUUUUUAUAAAAGCAAUUCUACACAGCUGCACAGGAUGCCGCUUCUGGUUCAUGUAUAUGGAGCUUAUGGAAUAGACUUGAACAUGACAUUUAAAGCAGAAAAUCUAAUGUUAAUCAAGGAUGGGUGGAUAUUAGCUUUUUGUCACGUUAGAGGUGGAGGAGAAUUAGGCCUGAGAUGGCAUAAAGAUGGCUGUAUGAUGAAGAAGCAUAAUGGUAUUCAAGACCUCCAGGCCUGCAUCAAGUUAUUGCAUGAACUGGGAUAUUCUCAGCCCAUCCAGACAGCCUUAAUAAGCAUGAGUGCUGGAGGAGUUCUUGCAGGUGCCCUCUGCAAUAUUGAGCCUCAUCUUAUCAGAGCUGUGGUUUUACAGGCACCUUUUCUGGAUAUUUUAAAUACAAUGCUGGACCCUCAUCUCCCUUUAACUAUUGAGGAACAAGAAGAAUGGGGAGAUCCAGUGGUAGAUGAGGCCUGCAAGGAAUAUAUUAAAAGUUAUUGUCCAUACCAGAAUAUUAAACCACAGAAUUAUCCUUCUCUUUUUAUCACAGUUUCUGAAAAGGAUCAACGAGUUCCUCUGGCAGGAUUGUUAAGAUACAUCAAUAAACUUAGAAAAGCUGUACAAGAUCAUGCGGAAACCAACAGUUCAGAUGAUAAGGGAGCUCAGAUACCUAAUAUUAUCUUAGAUGUUCAGCCAGGAGGCAGCCAUUGUUCUCCAACAUGUGAGGAUUCUUUAAAACAGGUUGCAACACAACUAGCAUUUCUAUACAGUGAACUUGGACUUGACAAGCAGGAAUGAAGCCAGGCUGGAAUUUUUGUCCUUUUUGCAAAAGCAGAGGAAAUAGAUUUGGCUGCAUAUUCUGAAUUACUUGCCCAUGUGAUUACUUUAGAACUUGUAAUUUACUUUGAAAGUAAAUUUAUCCUGUGUUUUCAUGAAGAAAAGGCAAGAUACUCUUCCAAAUUCAGAGGGUUUUUUAACUUCAAUAAAAUUAUUGUUUGUUUGAAUUUGUCCUCCUUUCCUAUAUUGAAGUAUAUUCAAAGUGGCUAAUAAGCAACAAUCAAAAAUGAGAAAAUACAAACCAAAAUAAGGGAGUAAAAAUCAAUAGUUAAAACUGAUCAAAUUAAAACAGUGCUGGAAUAAAAUUACUUUUACCACUUACCAAAAAGCAGGCAGUGAAGGCUAAGUUCUUUUUAGGAAAGCUGUUCUAAAAUCUAAGGCAAACAACUAAGAAGGCCCUUUCUCUCCUGUGCAGUGAAAUGCAAGGAAAUACUAUCUGUACCAGAAUGGGGUUUGCAGGGAGAAGAAUAAAAAACUAUCCUUGAUCUUAUUGUCCUUUGAUUUUAAAGGUCAAAGUGCACACCAUGAAAUGAACCUGGAAAGAAACUGACAACUGCAGGAUUGAAGUGAUAUGUUCCAAUAUCCUCUAUUCUGCCAGAAUCCUAGCAACUGCACUCUGGACCAGAUCAAAGUUUGCAGACUAUCUUGAAGAUAAGAGAAUGACCGAUGACCACUCUCCACUGGCCAGCACUGGGCUCUGAGUUAUGCUCUUGGGCUGUACAGUGAUCCACCUCAUGUGAAUGAGCGGCAACUGUGGCUACAGGACCUGGCAGGAGGUCUUUUGGAACUUGAUGAAAUCUGUCCUUACCUGUUAUCAAAAUUAUCUUCCAGAAAAACAAGUUGUUGCUCUGUGUUUUCAGAAAUAACUGAUGGAAAAAACAUUAACAGAUACUCUGCUCAUAAAAAGCCUGAUAUUGUGAAUUUUUUUCCUCGUUAUGGAAGUGGGGUUUAAAUUUUUUAAAAAAAUCUUUUAAUUUCAAAGAAUAGUAGCUAAGGAUAUUUCUAAGGAGCAAGAAGGGGAAAAAUAAUUUCAAAGUCAACUUCAUCUUUUCCCCCCUUCAAUAAAUUGCUUUUGUGUUUAUGUCUGCUUUUUCCUCUUGUUUUCUUCCAGUUUCCAAACUGUCCUUUUACUUUUCUUUAAUCAGAACUGCUCUGCUUUCUCCAGAAACUGAUAUAAAUGAUUGUAUGCUCUGAUGAUUGAAUCGCUGGAUUACUAGCUUCUAGGUCAUUUGACAUACCAGAAAUAUACUGUAGCUUCUCUGCUUAAAGCAUUUUCUGACUAAAGAAUAGAGAGAAUAUUUUUUUGAAAA